GUGGUCAGUAGUGCGAUGGUGGUUAUUAAUUAGUGUGUGUAAGGUGUAUAUAUGGUCAGUAGUGCGAUGGUGUUUAUUAAUUAGUGUGUGUAAGGUGUAUAUAUGGUCAGUAGUGUGAUGGUGUUUAUUAAUUAGUGUGUGUAAGGUGUAUAUAUGGUCAGUAGUGUGAUGGUGUUUAUUAAUUAGUGUGUGUAAGGUGUAUAUAUGGUCAGUAGUGUGAUGGUGUUUAUUAAUUAGUGUGUGUAAGGUGUAUAUAUGGUCAGUAGUGCGUUGGUGUUUAUUAAUUAGUGUGUGUAAGGUGUAUAUAUGGUCAGUAGUGUGAUGGUGUUUAUUAAUUAGUGUGUGUAAGGUGUAUAUAUGGUCAGUAGUGUGAUGGUGUUUAUUAAUUAGUGUGUGUAAGGUGUAUAUAUGGUCAGUAGUGCGAUGGUGUUUAUUAAUUAGUGUGUGUAAGGUGUAUAUAUGGUCAGUAGUGUGAUGGUGUUUAUUAAUUAGUGUGUGUAAGGUGUAUAUAUGGUCAGUAGUGCGAUGGUGUUUAUUAAUUAGUGUGUGUAAGGUGUAUAUAUGGUCAGUAGUGCGAUGGUUAGGAAGAAAGCCAAUUUGACAUUUACUUAUUACAUUUUUUUCUUGAAGAAAGGUUUGAAUUCUUGAAUUCAAAAUGCUACAGAAAAUCUUUCCCAAGUUACUGUUGACGCAAAUUCCCCUGUAAUUAUUGGGGUCUGAUUUGUCUCCACUUUUGUGGAUAGGGGAGAUGAGCCCCUGGUUCCAGACAUCAGGGAAGCAGCCAGAAGUUAAAACCAUGUUGAACAAUUUAAGCACAGCAUUUUGCA